UGGGGAAUAUUGGACAAUGGGCGAAAGCCUGAUCCAGCCAUGCCGCGUGUGUGAAGAAGGUCUUCGGAUUGUAAAGCACUUUAAGUUGGGAGGAAGGGCAUUAACCUAAUACUUUGCUGUUUUGACGUUACCGACAGAAUAAGCACCGGCUAACUCUGUGCCAGCAGCCGCGGUAAUACAGAGGGUGCAAGCGUUAAUCGGAAUUACUGGGCGUAAAGCGCGCGUAGGUGGUUCGUUAAGUUGGAUGUGAAAUCCCCGGGCUCAACCUGGGAACUGCAUUCAAAACUGACGAGCUAGAGUAUGGUAGAGGGUGGUGGAAUUUCCUGUGUAGCGGUGAAAUGCGUAGAUAUAGGAAGGAACACCAGUGGCGAAGGCGACCACCUGGACUGAUACUGACACUGAGGUGCGAAAGCGUGGGGAGCAAACA
rnacentral:rRNA from 1 species